AGGGAAUCUUCCACAAUGGGCGAAAGCCUGAUGGAGCAACGCCGCGUGAGCGAAGAAGGUCUUCGGAUCGUAAAGCUCUGUUGUAAGGGAAGAAUAAGUGCAGUAGUAACUGGCUGCACCUUGACGGUACCUUACGAGAAAGCCACGGCUAACUACGUGCCAGCAGCCGCGGUAAUACGUAGGUGGCAAGCGUUGUCCGGAAUUAUUGGGCGUAAAGCGCGCGCAGGCGGUCUUUUAAGUCUGAUGUGAAAGCCCCCGGCUUAACCGGGGAGGGUCAUUGGAAACUGGGAGACUUGAGUGCAGAAGAGGAAAGUGGAAUUCCAAGUGUAGCGGUGAAAUGCGUAGAGAUUUGGAGGAACACCAGUGGCGAAGGCGACUUUCUGGUCUGUUACUGACGCUGAGGCGCGAAAGCGUGGGGAGCAAAC
rnacentral:rRNA from 1 species